GAACGCGAAGAACCUUACCAGGUCUUGACAUCCCUCUGACCGCUCUAGAGAUAGAGUUUUCCUUCGGGACAGAGGUGACAGGUGGUGCAUGGUUGUCGUCAGCUCGUGUCGUGAGAUGUUGGGUUAAGUCCCGCAACGAGCGCAACCCCUAUUGUUAGUUGCCAUCAUUCAGUUGGGCACUCUAGCGAGACUGCCGGUAAUAAACCGGAGGAAGGUGGGGAUGACGUCAAAUCAUCAUGCCCCUUAUGACCUGGGCUACACACGUGCUACAAUGGCUGGUACAACGAGUCGCAAGCCGGUGACGGCAAGCUAAUCUCUUAAAGCCAAUCUCAGUUCGGAUUGUAGGCUGCAACUCGCCUACAUGAAGUCGGAAUCGCUAGUAAUCGCGGAUCAGCACGCCGCGGUGAAUACGUUCCCGGGUCUUGUACACACC
rnacentral:rRNA from 1 species